rnacentral:rRNA from 1 species
AGUGAACGCUGGCGGUAGGCCUAACACAUGCAAGUCGAACGGCAGCACAGUAAGAGCUUGCUCUUACGGGUGGCGAGUGGCGGACGGGUGAGGAAUACAUCGGAAUCUACUUUUUCGUGGGGGAUAACGUAGGGAAACUUACGCUAAUACCGCUUACGACCUACGGGUGAAAGCAGGGGAUCUUCGGACUUUGCGCGAUUGAAUGGUCCGAUGUCGGAUUAGCUAGUUGGAGGGGUAAAGGCCCACCAAGGCGACGAUCCGCAGCUGGUCUGAGAGGAUGAGCAGCCACACUGGAACUGAGACACGGUCCAGACUCCUACGGUAGGCAGCAGUGGGGAAUGGUGGACAAGGGGCUCGAGCCUGAUCCAGCCCUGCCACGUGGGUGAAGAAGUCCUUCGGGUUGUAAAGCCCUUUUGUUGGGGAAGAAAAGCAGCAGGUUAAUACCCCACUGUUCUGACGGUACCCAAAGAAUAAGCACCGGCUAACUUCGUG